GCUGGAGACUGCUGUGGUGGCGACUUGCGAUAGGCUCUCAUUGCAGAGUUGGCUUGUUCCUAUCUUUGUCUGCAAAGGGCAGGGACGGGGAGACGCACAGGAGGAAAACGGAAAGAAAAGCAUGAAGGAAAUCAGCUUCUGUUAGUGCUGUCUCCCACGUUUGCUGAGAAUAAGAACCCCUGGAGGGUUUUUACCCUCUGAACUUUUAACUUUCGGCAUUGACUACUGCUUCCAGCAGGACUGUCAGAUAUUGUGCCUCUUUUAAGGAACUUCUCUUCUUGCCUGAAAGUAAGCCACAUGAAUCAAUGGGGCAAUAACCUUACUCUGUGGUGAAACUCAUCCCUAAGAGUAGAGAGAAGAAUCCAAAGACUUCAUUCCGGGCUCAGCUUUGUCUACCCAGUACUUCUUCAAAAUAACCACUUGACAUGGUAGAUCUUAGGAUGAUUUUUCCGGCUGCUCAGUAUGUCACAGACCAAACAGGAGUUAAGGCUUGCUCACGCUGGAGAGUGAUAUAUAAGCAAAGAUGGGGAGCUUCCACUUUGGCGUUGCCUAGACUGAAAUGCAUUGAUGGAUGGUCAGCUAUUUGUUGCAUUAUUUUGAUGCUGGAACAAAGAUACCUUCCUAAGCAUGUUUUUAGGACAGGGAUGGGGUGUUUCCUGCCUCGCAACGUGUGAGCCACUGCAGAAGCUCGAGGAACACUUCUGCGCAGCAGUGGGUUCCCAUCCUUUGCAAACCAUGGUGAGUUGAGGAGCUGGAUCUCAAAGCCCAUUGAUGAGCUGGCUCCAGACCUUGUGAGCAUUUCCAGCGAUUCCCAGAGCUUGGGUGACAAAGGCGUCAUGCCAACAAAGAGGAGGUAAGCUUGUCUUGGUUAACAUUCCUCUCUGCAUGCAAAAAUUCAUUUACAAGCUAUUUCUUAGGGAAUCAGUUAGACCUGAUAGUUACCAUGGGCCUGGGUUUGAAUGUAAAGCCUGCUAGCCAUUCCUGAGUAUCUCUGUGCCUGUCUGCACUAAAUGCAGGGUGUGUACAAUGGACAAAUCUAUAUUUAGACAAGCCCUACUAGCAGCUUAGCAAAGACUUAAAAUAAACUUCUUCCAUUGUGGAAUCUUUCUUUAUGU
rnacentral:lncRNA from 1 species